rnacentral:rRNA from 1 species
UAGUGAUUAGAGUUUGAUCAUGGCUCAGAUUGAACGCUGGCGGCAUGCCUUACACAUGCAAGUCGAACGGUAACAGGUUAAGCUGACGAGUGGCGAACGGGUGAGUAAUAUAUCGGAACGUGCCCAGUAGUGGGGGAUAGCCCGGCGAAAGCCGGAUUAAUACCGCAUACGACCUACGGGUGAAAGCGGGGGAUCGCAAGACCUCGCGCUAUUGGAGCGGCCGAUAUCAGAUUAGCUAGUUGGUGGGGUAAAAGCUCACCAAGGCGACGAUCUGUAGCUGGUCUGAGAGGACGACCAGCCACACUGGGACUGAGACACGGCCCAGACUCCUACGGGAGGCAGCAGUGGGGAAUUUUGGACAAUGGGGGCAACCCUGAUCCAGCCAUGCCGCGUGAGUGAAGAAGGCCUUCGGGUUGUAAAGCUCUUUCAGCCGGGAAGAAAUCGCACGGGCUAAUACCCUGUGUGGAUGACGGUACCGGAAUAAGAAGCACCGGCUAACUACGUGCCAGCAGCCGCGGUAAUACGUAGGGUGCGAGCGUUAAUCGGAAUUACUGGGCGUAAAGCGUGCGCAGGCGGUUUAGUAAGACAGGCGUGAAAUCCCCGGGCUCAACCUGGGAACUGCGCUUGUGACUGCUAAGCUAGAGUACGGCAGAGGGGGGUGGAAUUCCACGUGUAGCAGUGAAAUGCG